rnacentral:sRNA from 2 species
UUAAUAAGCCCCUUCGUGCUCUGCCGUUCCCUACAGAGAUUGGGUUCAUCGAUGCCAUCACUUUUUGUCUAGGCCUUCAUCAUGGAAUUGUGACAUUCAACGAUCAACUGAAUAGACUGCUGAUGGAAUCGUUGGCACUGGUUGAUGUCGACGAUGAAUCUCUCGCACCAAAGCCAAAUGAAUUCAAAACCGCAGAACAAAUUGUAAACCUCCGAGUCUCCUGUCUUCGUUUGUUGUCUAUGGCAAUGGGUUUCCCAGAGUUUGCGAGCGGCCCGCAGAAUACGGGCCGUGCGCGUGUCAUCGCUGUCUUCUUCAAAUCGCUUUAUUCUCGCUCGCCGGAGAUUAUCGAGGCGGCUAACUCUGGUCUGCGUGAUGUGUUGACACAGACAAAUAAACUGCCGAAGGAUUUGCUACAGAACGGCCUUCGUCCCAUCCUCAUGAACCUGC